UCAAGCACGCCAUGGCCCCGAUCUACC
rnacentral:piRNA from 1 species